rnacentral:lncRNA from 1 species
CUUUAUCUUCUUUUCUAGUGGGGACUGGGAACCCCUGCAAUCCGAGGGUCCUGAGUGUUUUGGGCCCAGGCCAAU